AACGAACGCUGGCGGCAUGCCUAACACAUGCAAGUCGAACGAAGUCUUCGGACUUAGUGGCGCACGGGUGCGUAACGCGUGGGAAUCUGCCCUUGGGUGCGGAAUAACUUCUCGAAAGGGAUGCUAAUACCGCAUAAUGUCGUAAGACCAAAGAUUUAUCGCCCAAGGAUGAGCCCGCGUAAGAUUAGCUAGUUGGUGGGGUAAAAGCCUACCAAGGCGACGAUCUUUAGCUGGUCUGAGAGGAUGAUCAGCCACACUGGGACUGAGACACGGCCCAGACUCCUACGGGAGGCAGCAGU
rnacentral:rRNA from 1 species